UGACGAGGUACCGACUAUUUCACUAGCUGAUCUUUUCACAUGAAUUGAGUUACAGAGUUGAGUUGCUGUUGAUUCUUUCUUGUGUUUUUGAGGGCCAGACUAAUUUAGAUUUAGACUAAUUUAGAGUUAAUCCAUACCGCAUCCAACACCAAUCCAAUCCAAACAUAUUACACAUUUUUUGUCCUGUUUUGCAGGACCGAGGAUCCCAAAAAGCACCAUGAUCCGAAACAUCUCCACCGCCACAUUCCAGACUCCGGACGGCUCCGCGGAGACGAACUUCACCGCGACCCAACACCCGUGCGUGGACCACGGGGCGCUGCAGAGCCUGCUGGCGGUGCUCUACACCGUCAUCUUCGUCCUGGGGCUGGUCGGGAACCUGCUGGCUCUGCUGGUCUUCUUCGGCGUUCACGCCAAGAAGAACUCGGUGCGGGUGUUCCUCAUAAACAUCGCGUUUGCCGACCUGCUGCUGGUGGUGUGUCUGCCCUUCAGGGUACUCUACCACAGCCGGGGCAACAACUGGACCCUGGGUCCCACCUUGUGCAAAGUGGUGGGCAACCUCUUCUACAUGAACAUGUAUAUCAGCGUCACGCUGCUGGGCUUCAUCAGCGUGGACCGCUACCUGAAGAUCCACCGGGGCGCCGGGGCGCAGCACAGGCUGCGCUCCACCAGGUGGAGCAAUGCCAUCUGUGCGCUGGUCUGGGCCGUGGCCUUCGCUCUGACUUCGGUGCUGCUGAUGUCCAAGAACCACGCGCAGGAGGACAGGUGUUUCCACUACAAGGUGCUCCAGAAAGCAAAGUGGAAGGCCUACAUCAACGUGUCCUUGCUGGUGGUCUUCUGGCUCGUCUUCAUCGCUCUGGUGGCGUCUUACGGGAAGAUCGCGCUCAAGCUUCAGAGGACGUCCCGGCAGAGGCCGGACCUGCCCAACGCCUCGCGCUACAGCCGCACCGCCCGCAAGUCCUUCUUCAUCCUCUUCCUCUUCACCGUCUGCUUCGUCCCGUACCACGUGGUCAGGGUGUUCUACAUAAGGACCCAGAUCACGGACACGUCCUGUUUCUGGCGGGGCGUGGCCGACAAAGCCAACGAGGUGGCCCUGCUGUUUUCAGCCCUCAACAGCUGCCUGGACCCCGUCAUGUACUUCCUGCUGUCCUCCUCGAUGAGGAAGGAGGUGCUGCGCUUGGCCGGCGGCAUGCUCUGCGUGCGAGACGUGGGCGCGGUCAGCGGGAGCACCUCCAGCGUGGAGCCGGACGGGAGGGGCGGGAGGUCGGACAGGGGGGAGGCGAGCGUCAGCUUGAGGGAGAAGACGAGCAGCGAGUACAGGGCGGCUCCGAGUCAGUGAGCAAGCUGCCGAGGGAGCAGCCUCGUCCGCGGUGAACUUUAGAGCAGGUGGAUGAGGGCCAUCCGUCGUGGGCGCAGGCGGAAAACAUCAGCACGGCCGGUGCUUGUCGCGCUGCCGCUGCAGUUUUUUAAAUUGUAUUAUGCUUUAGUAGCGAUGUAGGUGGCAGAAAGCGCUUUGGAUUCAUUGGCUCCAGAAUUUUGAUUUGCACAUGAAUGCAGACUUCACCUCUGGAGUACACAUCUGGUUUUAUAAGAGGAAAAACAUGUGUUUCAAUGACAUUUCUUGUCAAAAUCUUCAAAUUCCUCUUUUGUCAAUGAACAAAAAUGUCAAACAGCCGCCAUCAUUUGGCACCAGAGAAUGUUCAUUAUGUUUUAUCUUGAUAAAAGACCAGUGAAUCUUUGGGGACAUUUUGUUUUCUAAGGAGUUCAUUACCACGUUUGCUUCGUAUUAAUGGAGCGUUACCAGAUUCAGGUUUUAAAAAGGGACACAUUUUCGCACUGCAUAUAGAACGUACUCAAAGCAUGUAUCACUGUGGUUAGUCAUGUCCGUCAAUAAAUAGCUCAAUAAGAUCGAUAAAUAUAGAUUCUACUGUGUGUCGAGAGGGUAAACUCCCUUCUUCCUUCCCAGCUAGAACUAGAGCAGCAGUGCCCCCACAAGGCAGAAUCAAACCACCGCCAGUGCAUUAAAAAACAAAAACAAAUUCAAUGCUAUACCUAAUGUAUGCAUUAAAAAAGGGACAAAUUCAAUGCUAUACCUAAUGUAAAAAUGAAGUAUCAAACCUAGAAGAACUGCUUCCUUAAUAAUAAACAUUUGAUAGAGCAUCGUGCGUGCACUUUACACACACUACAUACGUGUCAGCAUCAUGUAGCGAGGAAGUAGAAAAUAAAUAUAGGCACCGAACUCUCACCCAAACAUUCACGCAACACUUUCUGAUAAACUUCUGUUUAUUUUAAAAAGCAGGAAGUAACAGAAAGGCAUUGCCCCUCAUCUCGGAUUCUGGAGAGUUGACUUGAGUUUCUCAAACGGUUUGCUGAUGUCUUUGAAUGACAGCUACGGCUGGGCGGUAAGUUCUGACGCCAACGGCAUCGGGAUGCUACGACGCGGCCUCUCAUUUGCCGAUUGCUUAUAAUAACAUCAAGAAACUAAACUAAAUGGAUCGUUAUUCUCACAUUUGAGGUUCAUUGUGUUGCUUGAGGAGGUUCUACGAAUUAUUCAUGUAAAUCUGCUUUACCAACUGUGCUUAGUUGAGUAAAAACUAUGUUGAGUCUUAUUUCUGCUCGUUUGUGCAGACUUGCACAAACACAUUUUUAGACAAUGACCGUGGUGGUAUUUUGAAAUAAAUGUACGAGCCAUUUGUGUCACAACCCGUUGUGUAAAUCUAUCGCGAUCCAAUCAAACUUAGAGAAAAUGACCUGCUGACCUUUCACAUCAGUUUCUCCUCGCUCUUAGUCAUCUUCUUCAGGUCAAAUGGAGAACACGCUGCACACUCCUCCACCGGAUAACGCUUCCCUCCCCUCCCGGGCCCUCUCCCUCUGCCCCACCGCCGUCACCCUCGUCUUCCUCCCCUCCGCCUACGCCCUCCUCUUCCUCACCGCCCUGCCGGGCAACGCGCUGUCUCUGUGGGUGUUCCAGCGGCGCAUCGCCACCGCGUCCCCCAUCCACGUCUACCUGUCCCACCUGAGCGUCUCCAACCUGAUGCUGGCCCUCACCGCGCCCUUCCACGCGGCCUACUUCGCCCGGAGCCCGGCCUGGGCGCUGGGGGGCCCCGAGUGUCAGCUGGUUUUGCACGCCGUCAAUCCGGUGUUUCACGUCAACGUCGGCAUGGCGAUCCUCACUUGGUUGGCGCUCAGCCGCUUCGCCGCGCUCGUCCAGCACACCCACGCCUCCCGGCGGAGCGCCUGCGCCGCCCUGCUGCCGCGCGGCUUCUUCGCCCGCCUCACGAGGGCCUCCUUCGCCGGCAGGGUGUGCGCCGGCGUGUGGGCGGCGGCGGUCGCGGGCACGGUGCCGGCGGCGGUCUACUACUCGGUGAGGGCGGGCGUGAGGGGCGGCCCCCCCACCGGGCGGAUGCGUGGAGCUGUGCUACAGCCCGGAGGUGGAGAUCGGGGGCGCUCAGUCGGCGCGGGUGGCCGUGGCCGCCAUGACGCUGUUCUUCGUCUUCUACCUGCUGGUGCUGCUGUCCUACAUGGGCGUGCUGAAGCACAUCGGGCGCUCUCGCCGCAGCGCGAGGUGCAAGACCUCCCAGCGCCUGCUGGGCCGGGUGCUGCGCAACAUCGUGAUCCUCCAGGUGGGUUGUAAAACAAUACGUCUGUCGCAUUCAUCGCCAAAACUAACGCCGCUCGGGUCACACACAGGUCGUCCUCUCAGUCUGUUUGCUGCCGUACCACGUCUUCAAAGCGGUCUUGAUUUCUUGGGCGAUCAACGAGCGGCAGCAGACGUAUCCGUCGGGCCCCGACACCUGCGACCGCUGCCAUCCGCUGGCCACCUUCAUCGAGCUGAAGAACUGCCUGCUGCUUCUGGUCGCGUUGAGAUGCUCGACCGACCCCGUGAUGUACUUCCUGUUGGACGAGACCUUCCGUCAUCAGAGCCUCAGACUCCUGAGGUGCAAGCCGAACGGCGCCGAUGGCAGACCGGCGGAUUCGACGAGGGGAAGUGACGACCAGAGGGUCAGACACUUGGAACUGGAGGACGGAACUGUGGAUUCAACUCAAAGAACUGUCCUCUAGCCAGCAGAUCUUUCUUGGAAAUGAAGCCUGACUAGAUAACAGAUAAUGUGAGCUCAAAUGUCACAAAAAAAAAAAAAUCAUGAAAAAAGUCAUUUUCAGAUGUACAAGGAAAUGUUUGUAGAGCAGCCGCCAUGUGCAACAAGCUAUAAAUAUUUAAUAUCCAUAUGUGUGCUCAGCCUUGCUCAGUAAUUGUGUACAAAUUAUUGAGGGAGUACAGAAUGUGUUUGUUUUCAUACGGCACCGUCGUGUGAAGUGAGGCCCGGGAGAACCGGCAUGCCGCCACGCGACUCCAUAUACAUGAAUGCACAAAGGCCAGAUGAAAAACCCAGCACGCUUUAAAGGAAGAGACGAGAAUAAUGGAGUGAUGUGCGUGCGGCGCUGCUUGUGAAAACACUGAAGCUGGAGGGAUUCCAUUCUAGAAAAGGCCUUAUUUCUGUGACAGAAGGAGGUGGUUAGUAAAAAGUCUCCCAUAAUACGUUUUUUUUAAAUCUGUACCCAGAAGUUUUAACACCGAACAACACAGAACUGGAGGGUCAACGUCACGUCAAAUUCUCUCACCCAUCCGUCGACAAACUUUUAGCAACAUUUUUAGCUAAUUUGCUGAAGCCAAUUCUUUUUCUGAAAGACUGGGACUAUUAUUAAAAUAAUUCCCCCUGAUCGCUUGGCUUCAUUAGAUACCAGCGGCCCGCAUCAAAGACAGCGUGUGUGUGUGUGUGUGUGUGUGUGUGUCUGGGUGCAUUCUUGCAUUCAUUUGUUGUUGUGAGAAAGGUCUCCCCAGAGACGGCAUUAGUUCCACUGGUUGUCCACUGCGCGCACACACUGAGGAUUGUUUUUGUGUGUGUGUGUGUGUGUGUGUGUGUGUGUGUGUGUGUGUGUUCAGGCAGGACCCGAGCGAUCACUCUGAGGAGGUGUGAGGCUGUGCAUCUAAAAGUCACCCGUCCAUCUAUUAAAAAAAAACCAGUGAAGGAACCCGUC